ACAAAUUGUCUACCUGCUGCAAUACUUUACUUUAUGAAGAAGUUUUCACACCAACUAUACCCACAAAAAACGAUUUAGGGUUAAAAAAUACCAUUAUAGAUAAAUAAUAACAGGGGAAAGGAGAAAUUAACAGGUAGAAGCUCGGGAGAGAUGAGCUGUUUUCAGCUGAUGUUUGAAAUGAGUCAGAACAAAUGCAGCACAAGGAUAAAGUCAGAGCUGUAGGGAAGACUCACCGACAGCAGAAAUACUCCAGGAAAUGACUGCUCAUAAUGAAAGAGAGGGAGAGGAAUAUUGUGGCUGAGACUGGUCUCCCUUUAUGUCUGCUUGCUCUUCCUGCUGUGCUGUUCUGUACAUGGCUAAGCUACAUUGACGAGGAUUUUUGCCUGCAUCUGGAGUUUCUGGGAUUUGCCAGGCACUAAGACAGAAAGAGUUCUUAAAGAUGGAGGUGAACGAGAUAUAUGCAGCGAGCUGAUCUACUAGUUCACAAAAGGGAUGGGAUUCAUUUCAUCUCACUUUCAGGAUCUGAUACAGCUGUCCCACCUGAGCUCCUCUUCUGGAUACCCAUUGAAGAUGCUGGAGGUUAGUGAGCUGAACUUCCUCAUUACAGUGCUUGGUGACUACGUGAGCCUCACUACGUGAGAGGAGGAAUUAUGAGAUUUGGGAAAACGUUAUGUCUCCUUGAGGCACCUGGUAGAUUCACCCACACAUGCUUUGGAAGAAUCUAUGAAAUUAUAGAAGGGCAGGGAGGAUUAUUUUUUUUUUUUCCUUCCUUUAUUUGUUUAAAAUCUGUAUUAUUUCACUGGAAUGGUUUGCUGUGACCCCAUGAGCAAUUGCAGCAGCACAAUAGAGAUGAGGCCACUUUGUCACUCCCUUGCUUAUUGCUAUGGGUUGUGGAAGAAGCAUUACAGAAGAGCCCCAGUGAAGCCCCCU